CAAUAGCGUAUAUUAAAGUUGUUGCAGUUAAAAAGCUCGUAGUUGGAUUUAAGUUUGGUUCAAGAUCACAGUCGUGAGGUUGUGGUGCAUGAAACGGACAUUAUUUGGGAUUGGGGGUUUCUUGGCAUUCAGUUGUUGAGAUUCAACUGCCCAUCGUUUACUGUGAAAAAAUUAGAGUGUUUAAAGCAGGGGUUUUUCCUUUGGAUAUAUUAGCAUGGAAUAAUAAUAUAUGACUCGUAUGGUCUAUUUUGUUGGUUUGCACAUAUGAGUAAUGAUUAAUAGGGACAGUUGGGGGUAUUCAUAUUUGAGCGUCAGAGGUGAAAUUCUUGGAUCGCUGAAAGAUGAGCUAAGGCGAAAGCAUUUACCAAGGAUGUUUUCAUUAA
rnacentral:rRNA from 1 species